UGUUUGGGCACUAAUUUAUUUGUCACAUGAAUGCUACAAUUAAACUAAUUGGAAGAAUGACUAUAAAUAUGACAGAUUACAUUGCCAAUAAUAAAAUCAGUAGUAAACACAGGCUUAGUACAGUUAGUAAUAGGUAAUAAAAAAGAAAGGCUACAUAAAGAUAUUUAAUUAGUUGAUUAAACCAACUGUUUAACUGACCUAAAAGCUUUUUCUGCAAAUGUUUCUUGGUUUAACUUGUGAUUUCCAAAAUAUAUUUAAUUUUGUUAAGAAAUCUUUGAAGUAUGGUCUGAAUUUUGCUGUAAACAACCAGUACCAUCUAGUUGAUGUUUGUGGGAUUGAAAGAAAAACAUGCACAAUAGCUUCUUUGAAGCUGUUGACUGCUUUGAUAUUGAAAAACAAAACAGGUGGUUUCUGCUAUAAAAACUAAGUAUUAAUCAGCUUAUUCAUGUGAGGAAU
rnacentral:lncRNA from 1 species